UACUCAAGAAUCGUAAAAUUGCUUUUUUUUAUAUGUGUCGGUUUCAGGAGAGCAUGAAAUCCGACAUAAUCGAAAGCUAUCUAGAUUUGUGCAUAUAUACACGAUGGGGACAGUUGAGCUGAAUUGGGUUGGAACUAACGUGUGUGCUGUAUUUGGUGGCCUGUCGAUCCUGUCAUCUGCCGUUAAUUAUAUCUUCUUGUUCAGUUCAGCUGUUCUGUGCCUUCAUGCCUCUGCUGUUCUGUCUCAUAGAAACAAUAUUAGCUGCUCUGCUACUAGCUGCUCUAUUUUAUUUAUUUUGGGAACAUCUUCAUUUUUUUAAUUUUAAAACUAAACUGACCCGAAUUUAUUUUCAUAUGUAGACCGCCCAUUUUCAGACCUGAAAAUAAAUUUUAGUAAAGUUUAGUUUUAGAAUUAAAAAUCAGAAGGAUCACAAUUUUUUUUUAAAAAAAACUACUAAUGCCAGCUAGCUCUGUUGGAUUGCCUACGCUAACUACUUGAUCAAUUGAGCCUUUUUGUUCUUGCCUUUUCUCAAUCUCAGAUUAAUGAAAGGUUUCUAAACCUUAGCAUCGCCUCAACUUUUAGUUUCAGGUGUUAUUGUAAUUACCGUCUAUUCUGAUCUGCAGGCUCUCCAGGUCUCCUUUUAUGGCAUUAAUUUUCUUUUUAUUUAAAGUAAAUGUUAGAAAAUGUAAUAAAUGUAUGUACUGAUUAUAAAGUAUGAUCCACAGAAUAUAUACUACCAAAUAUAAUUUCAGCGGUUGACAAUUUUCUUAUGUAUAAAUAUAUUAUAUAUGUGAGCUGUAUAGACACCAACUUGCAGCAAGCUUGCAAGCACUCAUCAAAUUGCUCAAAUUGCAUGCAUCCUUAACUUUGGUUACAAGUCAACAACUUACACAGAGUGAAGGCAAGCAAAUUAAUUUAUUGAGCCUGUACACAAGAAUGCAUCAUUCAUCGAAUUAAUGACCUACUAAUGUACCUAUACAUUAACUCCAGCAUCAUCAUGCCAGCAACCACCUUAAUUAAGCUGCAUGCAUGCAUGAUCAUCAAGAGCUUAAUUAACCAGACCAAAUUAAUUAAAACCAAAAUAAGCAAUGCAACUCUUUCUAUGAAUUCAUAAAUUUAUCUGUUCUUUUUUUUUUGAAGAACAUCAGAUACCAUAAACUGUAUAUAUAACAUGUUUCAUACAUUUGCAUGAACAUCAUAUUGAUCAUCUUCUUCAUCGCGCCGAAGAAUCUCUUUUGGAUCUCGCGCGACAACCAAAGAAGCAUCAAAAGCUAAAAUUAAUCAAAUCAAUCAAAGCAGGUUAAUUGAUCGAAAGAACUAAUUAACAACAUGCAAUUGCAAGCACGCAUGUACCGAGUAAUUAACUAAAGUUGAUGGUGUUGAUUAAGUUGAUCUCCAUGAUCGAUCAGCAGCAGCAGCUAGUAGGCGUAGAGCUGCGCGAGCUCCCUCAUGGCGGCGUCGUCGUCGUCGCCGUCGCCGCCGGCGCGGAGGUCGACGGCGUUGUCCAGCAUCCACAGCAGGUGGUCGAACAGCACGACCUCACAGUUGACGGCGAUCGGCUUCGUCGUCGUCGUCGUCGUCGAUGUCGCCGUCGCAGCCGNNN
rnacentral:lncRNA from 1 species